rnacentral:lncRNA from 1 species
AAUGCAUUAAAGAUGUGAUGCCUUUUCCUUUGAAGAAGGCUCUUGUUAAAUUUCACUAGACAUCAGUCGGUCUCGGGAGCUGCAUCCCCACUUCGCCUCCUUGAUUCUCCAAACUCCACAGGUGGAACAGAGGGAAGUGAAUGUGUGUUUGCAAAUGUGGGCACAAAGUGAGGUUCUGGUUGCUGAGGAAGCAAGUGCUAAUGAUCCUGCUUUAGACUAAUUACAACCUACAAGGACUGCAGGGUGGGAACUCAUUAAUUUCUUCGCUGGUGUUGGUCUCUGUGUCUCUUCCAGUGUUGGCAAGAAUCAUGCUUUUUGUUCUCAUUUAGGUCUUUCAAUCUGGAUAAGUUCUACGGUUUUGGUUUUGUUUUGAGUUUCCUAAUUUCCAGGAAACAACUAAAGUGAAAUCAGAAGGGAAAAAUUCAUCCUUCCUUCCUGAUGAGUGGAGCUGGGAGUGUGAAUGAACUUUGAUGAGCCCCAACAUGAGGAGCAGUGGCUUCCCUGGGGACUGAAAGCUCACACUGCUGCAGCUGAGACCAGCCUCAGUAUUUACCACAACCAGACUGCCCCCAUUCUGUGGUUCCCUGCUGGCAGAGUGAUGUUCUGCAGAAGACCCUUCCCAGGUGAGAAUAACCCAGAGAGGGGGAGCCAGCAGCUGGUCUGCUCCCAGCUCAAAUGCGAGUUCAGCAAACAGCUUUUUUCCAAUAGGAAAAUAUUUGGGCUCCUCAGCCUGCAUUGCCCCAGUGGGGUGAGACCACCGGGAUCAUCAUGGGCUCUGCGUGGCCAAUACUCGGCAACGGCACCAACAGCACCCUCUAAAAGCUCCCUAAUUCUGGGGCUGAAAUCCUGCCAGCUCUGAAGGCAACAGCAAAAUGUGUCUGACCUGGGCUGAAGGAAAACCUUGGACUUUGGCUGGAAUCAGAUGGUUUGAAGCACAUU